rnacentral:rRNA from 1 species
UAAACUAGGAUUAGAUACCCUAUUAUUAAAAAUGUAAUUUUUAAUACUAAAUUAGUAUAAGUUAUGUUCUUGAAAAUUAAAAAAUUUGGCGGUAUUUUAGUCUUUUCAGAGGAACCUGUUCUGUAAUUGAUAGUCCACGAUUAGAUAUACUUUAUUUAUUAGUUUACAUAUCGUUGUAGUUUGAAUAUUUUAAUAGAAUAUUAAUAUUCAAUAUUUUUAAUUAAAAAAUAAAUCAGAUCAAGGUGUAAUUUAUAAUGAAGAAGAAAUGGGUUACAAUAAAUUUAUUUUAGGAUAAUUUUUAUUAUAAAAAUUUGAAUAUGGAUUUGAGAGUAAUUUUAAAAUUUUUUUAAAAUGAUUAUAGCUCUAAAAUAUGUACACAUCGCCCGUCGCUCUUAA